GUGCCAGCAGCCGCGGUAAUACGUAGGUGGCAAGCGUUGUCCGGAAUUAUUGGGCGUAAAGGGCUCGCAGGCGGUUUCUUAAGUCUGAUGUGAAAGCCCCCGGCUCAACCGGGGAGGGUCAUUGGAAACUGGGAGACUUGAGUGCAGAAGAGGAAAGUGGAAUUCCAUGUGUAGCGGUGAAAUGCGUAGAGAUAUGGAGGAACACCAGUGGCGAAGGCGACUUUCUGGUCUGUAACUGACACUGAGGCGCGAAAGCGUGGGGAGCAAACAGGAUUAGAAACCCGCGUAGUCC
rnacentral:rRNA from 1 species